rnacentral:lncRNA from 1 species
CUGUUUCAAGCCCCGUUUUCUUGCAGCUCUUCGGCACUGCAAACUUAACCGCUGAUGGCGCUGUGGGUGGAGAAACGUUUGUUAGGCUUGUUACAUCAUGGUUGCAGGAUGGCUGCUACAGCUCUGGACAUCACAUCAAAAUAUGGCGGAAGCUAAAGCAGGAAGACAGAGAAGGAGGCAAAACAGCUUUAUUCACUUGUGGCUCUCAUAUGAAGAAUAAAGAUAUUUCUCGAAA